UACGGAGGGUGCAAGCGUUAUCCGGAAUCAUUGGGUUUAAAGGGUCCGCAGGCGGGUAAAUAAGUCAGAGGUGAAAUCCGGCAGCUCAACUGUCGCACUGCCUUUGAUACUGUUUAUCUUGAAUUUUAGUGGAGUGGGCGGAAUAUGUCAUGUAGCGGUGAAAUGCUUAGAUAUGACGUGGAACACCGAUAGCGAAGGCAGCUCACUAACUAUGAAUUGACGCUCAUGGACGAAAGCGUGGGUAGCAAACAGG
rnacentral:rRNA from 1 species